CAUAGCCUUUAGCUCCAACCGUAUUAAAGGUAAAGCCUGCCCAGUGAGUUUUAAACGGCCGCGGUAUCCUAACCGUGCAAAGGUAGCGCAAUCACUUGUCCCCUAAAUAGAGACUAGUAUGAACGGCUAAAUGAGGAUUGAACUGUCUCCUAUAACCAAUCAGUGAAACUGAUCCCCCAGUCCAAAAGCUGGGAUACAAUCAUAAGACGAGAAGACCCUGUGGAGCUUUAAAUUAAAGCCAUCUGCUCCUCUUAACCAUCAGUCUAUGGCCUACAAUUUUAAGUUGGGGCGACUUAGGAACAAAAUUAAACUUCCUAGCACAAGAGAAUUCUCAUACUAAGGCCUACACGCCAAGGCAUAAACUGACCCAGUACCACUGAUCAACGAACCAAGUUACCCCAGGGAUAACAGCGCCAUCUUCUCUAAGAGUCCCUAUCGCCGAGAAGGUUUACGACCUCGAUGUUGGAUCAGGACACCCAAAUGGUGCAACAGCUAUUAACGGUUCGUUUGUUCAACGAUUAACAGUCCUACGUGAUC
rnacentral:rRNA from 1 species